rnacentral:rRNA from 1 species
GAUCUGGCUCAGAUUGAACGCUGGCGGCGUGCUUAACACAUGCAAGUCGCGCGUGAAAGGACUUCGGUCCGAGUAAAGCGGCGCACGGGUGUGUAACGCGUGGAUGAUCUACCCAUGAGUUAGGAAUAACGGCUGGAAACGGUCGCUAAUACCAAAUACGCUCCGAUUUCAACUUCGGGGGAAAGGUGGCCUCUGCUUGCAAGCUACUGCUCAUGGAUGAGUCCGCGUCCCAUUAGCUAGUUGGUGGGGUAACGGCCCACCAAGGCGACGAUGGGUAGCCGGUCUGAGAGGAUGACCGGCCACACUGGGACUGGAACACGGCCCAGACUCCUACGGGAGGCAGCAGUGGGGAAUAUUGCGCAAUGGGCGAAAGCCUGACGCAGCGACGCCGCGUGAGGGAUGAAGGUCCUCGGAUCGUAAACCUCUGUCAGGAGGGAAGAACCGCCACGGUGCUAAUCAGCCGUGGUCUGACGGUACCUCCAAAGGAAGCACCGGCUAACUCCGUGCCAGCAGCCGC